rnacentral:tRNA from 1 species
AAGUUAGUUGUGCAAUUCAGCUUAAUUUGAUAAUUAAAAUCUUACUUGUUUUGAUUUAUUUUAAUU